UCCAAAAUGAAGUUCCUUGGGCUUCUUCUGGCUAUCAUGGCGUUGGCGUUUGCCGUCGUGAGCGGCAUGAGCGUGGGCGGCGCGGAGGGCCACGGCAAGGCGGCCUGCGGCGGCGGCGGCUUCCCACCCGGCCCCCCUCCGGCCAAUGCUACCGGCUAACCUGGGACACUUCAAGUUGAACCGACGACCUAUUGCACUAAUUAUGGCUUUUGAUCACUAUUAAACUUUCACUAGGUAACUACUUCA